ncrna:Lotus japonicus miR7532a stem-loop (lja-MIR7532a)
CGGGUCGCAUUGGUUCUGGAAGCUGCCUCUGGUCGUGGUUGGCUCGGUGGUCGGCGCGCUACUUCUCGACCGAGAAGUUCGGAGCAUCUACCGAUGCGUGUUCCCG